GUAGGCCUACGGGAGGCAGCAGUCGGGAAUAUUGCGCAAUGGAGGAAACUCUGACGCAGUGACGCCGCGUGCAGGAAGAAGGCUUUCGGAUUGUAAACUGCUUUAGACAGGGAAGAAAAAAGACAGUACCUGUAGAAUAAGCUCCGGCUAACUACGUGCCAGCAGCCGCGGUAAUACGUAGGGAGCAAGCGUUAUCCGGCUUUAUUGGGUGUAAAGGGUGCGUAGACGGGAAUGCAAGUUGGUUGUGAAAUCCCUCGGUUUAACUGAGGAACUGCAACCAAAUUUACAUUUCUUGAGUGUUGGAG
rnacentral:rRNA from 1 species